rnacentral:rRNA from 1 species
CCUACGGGAGGCAGCAGUAGGGAAUAUUGCUCAAUGGGGGAAACCCUGAAGCAGCAACGCCGCGUGGAGGAUGAAGGUUUUCGGAUUGUAAACUCCUUUUGGUAGAGAAGAUAAUGACGGUAUCUAACGAAUAAGCAACGUCUAACUCCGUGCCAGCAGCCGAGGUAAUACGGAGGGUGCAAGCGUUACUCGGAAUCACUGUGCGUAAAGCGCGCGUAUGCGGGAUAGCAAGUCAGAUGUGAAAUCCUAUGGCUUAACCAUAGAACUGCAUUUGAAACUGUUAUUCUAGAGUAUGGGAGAGGUAGGUGGAAUUCUUGGUGUAGGGGUAAAAUCCGUAGAGAUCAAGAGGAAUACUCAUUGCGAAGGCGACCUGCUAGAACAUAACUGACGCUGAUGCGCGAAAGCGUGGGGAGCAAACAGGAUUAGAUACCCUGGUAGUC